rnacentral:lncRNA from 1 species
GGAUUAGAGCAGGCGGUGCGCUGGGGGCGGGAGCAGCGCGGAGCCCGGCUCGGCCACACCGAUCGCCCGCCGCCAUGGGCUCCUCGCAAAGCGUCGAGAUCCCGGGCGGGGGCACCGAGGGCUACCACGUUCUGCGGCUUCCAAAGUUAGGAAGGGCGCGGAGGCAACGUCUCCAAAGUGGUGACUGUGAAGGCAGCCUUUGCGCUUUCCUAGGAGAGGGAUCCGGACCCGCAGUCCGGAGGCGGGGCCUGCGGCGGCAGGUGUUAAAUCACCUCGGCGCCGGCCGAGUGGCCUGAAAGACCAGCAGGGCAGGAGACGGAAAACCAAAUGGCCUGGAAGUACAAGAAAAUUCCCCAGGACACAGAGCUGGUUUGGAGCCUUUCUUUGAUUUUAUUGUUUCUAUUAAUGGUUCAAGAUUAAAUAAAGACAAUGACACUCUUAAGGAUCUGCUGAAAGCAAACGUUGAAAAGCCUGUAAAGAUGCUUAUCUAUAGCAGCAAAACAUUGGAACUGCGAGAGACCUCAGUCACACCAAGUAACCUGUGGGGCGGCCAGGGCUUAUUGGGAGUGAGCAUUCGUUUCUGCAGCUUUGAUGGGGCAAAUGAAAAUGUUUGGCAUGUGCUGG